rnacentral:rRNA from 1 species
UACGUAGGUGACAAGCGUUGUCCGGAUUUACUGGGCGUAAAGAGCGCGCAGGCGGCGCGUUAAGACAGGUGUGAAAGCCCCGCAGCUUAACUUGGGAAUUGCGCUUGUGACUGGCGUGCUGGAGUGUGGCAGAGGGAGGUGGAAUUCCACGUGUAGCAGUGAAAUGCGUAGAGAUGUGGAGGAACACCGAUGGCGAAGGCAGCCUCCUGGGCCAGCACUGACGCUCAUGCACGAAAGCGUGGGGAGCAAACAGG